rnacentral:pre_miRNA from 13 species
GCUCGCGCGGCUGUCUCUUGUGCUUGAUCUAACCAUGUGGCCCCGCCUAUUGUGACAUCACAUGGUUCCGUCAAGCGCCAGGGACCGCUGAGCACAC